UACGAAGGGGGGCUAGCGUUGUUCGGAAUUACUGGGCGUAAAGCGCGUGUAGGCUGCUCGGAAAGUCGGAUGUGAAAGCCCUGGGCUCAACCUAGGAAGUGCAUUCGAAACUUCCGAGCUGGAGUUCUGGAGAGGAAGGCGGAAUUCUCGGUGUAGAGGUGAAAUUCGUAGAUAUCGAGAGGAACACCGGUGGCGAAGGCGGCCUCUGGACAGCGACUG
rnacentral:rRNA from 1 species